GCUAGCAUGGCUCAGUGGUUUUAGUGCUGGACUUUCGCUUUGGAGACAAGGGUUCGAUUCCCCAAUCAGCC